ACGAAGAGUUUGAUCCUGGCUCAGGAUGAACGCUAGCGACAGGCCUAACACAUGCAAGUCGAGGGGCAGCACGAAGGAAGCUUGCUUUCUUUGGUGGCGACCGGCGCACGGGUGCGUAACAGGUGUGCAAUCUGUCCAUAGUCGGGGAAUAGCCCAGCGAAAGUUGGAUUAAAGCUCCAUGUGAGUAGAAGCCGCAUGACUUUUACUUGAAACGUAAGGACUAUGGGUGAGCACGCUUCUGAUUAGGUAGUUGGUGGGGUAACGGCCCACCAAGCCGACGAUCAGUAGGGGUUCUGAGAGGAAGGUCCCCCACAUUGGAACUGAGACACGGUCCAAACUCCUACGGGAGGCAGCAGUGAGGAAUAUUGGUCCUAUGGAUUGUAAACUUCUUUUGUCCGAGGGUAAAAAAGGCCACGUGUGGCUUCUUGCAAGUAUCGGACGAAUAAGCAUCGGCUAACUCCGUGCCAGCAGCCGCGGUAAUACGGAGGAUGCGAGCGUUAUCCGGAUUUAUUGGGUUUAAAGGGUGCGUAGGUGGUUUGUUAAGUUUGUGGUGAAAGCGUGCGGCUCAACCGUACCAAGCCAUGAAAACUGGCGAACUUGAGUGCAAACGAGGUAGGCGGAAUGUGAUGUGUAGCGGUGAAAUGCUUAGAUAUGUCACAGAACCCCGAUUGCGAAGGCAGCUUACCAGCAUGCAACUGACACUGAGGCACGAAAGCGUGGGUAUCAAACAGGAUUAGAUACCCUGGUAGUCCACGCAGUAAACGAUGAAUACUAGCUGUUGGCGAUAUAAUGUCAGCGGUACAGCGAAAGUGUUAAGUAUUCCACCUGGGGAGUACGCCGGCAACGGUGAAACUCAAAGGAAUUGACGGGGGCCCGCACAAGCGGAGGAACAUGUGGUUUAAUUCGAUGAAAGUUAGUGACGGCGGAUGAAAGUCUGCUUCCCUUCGGGGCACGAAACUAGGUGCUGCAUGGUUGUCGUCAGCUCGUGCCGUGAGGUGUCGGCUUAAGUGCCAUAACGAGCGCAACCCUUGCCGUUAGUUGCCAGCGGGUAAUGCCGGGAACUCUAGCGGGACUGCUACUGUAAGGUAGAGGAAGGUGGGGAUGACGUCAAAUCAGCACGGCCCUUACGUCCGGGGCGACACACGUGUUACAAUGGUGGGUACAGAGGGUUGCUACCACGCGAGUGGAUGCUAAUCUCCUAAAACCCAUCUCAGUUCGGAUCGGAGUCUGCAACUCGACUCCGUGAAGCUGGAUUCGCUAGUAAUCGCGCAUCAGCCAUGGCGCGGUGAAUACGUUCCCGGGCCUUG
rnacentral:rRNA from 1 species